rnacentral:rRNA from 1 species
GACGAACGCUGGCGGCGUGCCUAAUACAUGCAAGUAGAACGCAGUUGCGAACGGGUGAGUAACGCGUAGGUAACUGCCUCAUAGCGGGGGAUAACUAUUGGAAACGAUAGCUAAUACCGCAUACUGUGAGAUGGACAUGCGUUGUAUUAGGUAGUUGGUGAGGUAAAGGCUCAACAAGGCGACGAUACAUUGCCGACCUGAGAGGGGUAUCGGCCCAACGUGGACUGAGACAACGCCCAGACUCCUACGGGAUGCAGCAGUAGGGAAUCUUCGGCAAUUGACGGAAGUCUGACCCGGCAACGCCGCGUGAAUGAAGAAGGUUUUCGGAUCGUAAAGCUCUGUUGUUAGAGAAGCGGUAUCUAACCAGAAAGGGACGGCUAACUACGUGCCAGCAGCCGCGGUAAUUC